ensembl:lncRNA
GCCAGGUAAGGUGACAUAUUCACAGUUUCCAGGGAUGAGGACGUGGACAUCUUCGAGGGGUCCAUUAUUCUGUCCCACCACAAAGGCAUAAAAUAAACAAUUAUUAGCCGUUGGCCACAGUCAUGCAUUCGUCUGGAAGCUUAUAUGGCAAAACUCUGCAGCAGUCAAAAGAGAGCAAAAAGGAAGAGCCCGAUGAAAUGCUUUAGUAACAAGUCACUAAGAAUCUCAGGCACAGACUGACAUUUGCUGUGUUUGCUCUGUCAUCAAUCACUAACGAUUUUGGAAAGUUGGAUAAAUGUUCACAAGGUGGUAGAGAUAAGAGACUGCAAAAAGGGACCUCUCAAGUUUGACCUGAGGUUGUCGACCCUGCCAAGGUGUAAACACUCUCUUCACUUACUUGAAAUCAUCAGCAAAAUCUGUUACCCACUAAAAACCUUUUGGGGAGCAAAGGAUUUAUUUUGUUUGUCUUCUGUGGCAAUCGUGAAAAGUCCGAGCACUUCCCCUGUUCCGUGAGAUGUAUUACAGGGGAGCAAAUAAACUGAGCUCUUUCCGCAGAAGCUUGAGCUCAGAACGGGAUGUUACUACAAGAAGGUGAUCAAGAGUAACACCAGGCUCAGAAUGGGUGAGGGUUUGAACCGAUCUUAGGUCCUGGCUGGUGAGGUGCUUCUGAGGACAGCUGGCUUGACCCGUCUCUGUUCCACCUUCUCUACCCCAAGCGACGCACCGCUGCAGCCCGGCGGUCGGCUCAAUGCUUCAUAAUCAUCAAAACAAUGCCGGGGAAUGAGGAGGAAGGCUGGGGAUGGGGGGACCUCUGCUCAGGUUUUCCCUGAGAGACUUCCAGGAGUCUUCCAGACCUCUGAACAGACAACUGAUUUAAUUAGAAGCAAAAUCCUGACGAGGAGGCUUCUGGUGGCUGUGUGGGAAGAUGAGCUGGAGCUGGGCAGGCUGGGGAGUAGUGGGCGGAUGAACACAGUUCUCUUCCCUCCGAGUUGUUACUUCUGGAAGAAUCCUUUCAAGGCAUUGAUUUUAUGUUGAAUCGCAGUUUGUUGCCUGAGGUCGGGAAGACCUUUCUCUUUUCCAAAUUAGGUAAACUGUGACCGCGGAGCCUUUCCUUUGAAACAGUUCUGGGAAGUUUCUCUGUGACAUUUGAAAGACAGUGCAUCUCUCCUUCAGAGCCAUCCUUACGAGGCCACAAAGCAGCCCGGAUGGAGACGAGGGAGGAUUUCAGGAGGGUGAUCCCGGGGGACAGCCAGCAGUUCAAUUUUGAAGUGGAUAAUUUUCCUCUUCCCUUUCUGAUCCAUUUCCUCCCCACCCCACCUUCAGCUCCUAAUGAAAACAUGCCCUCAACCAGGCUUUGAUUUGCCCCCAUUUUUAUAUCUCUGCCUGACCUGUCCUUGUGUCCUUCCAUAGUAGACAGAACUCUGAGAUGCUCCUGCAAGAUUCCCACUCCCUGGUCUACACUCGCCGUAUAAUCCCCUCCAGUGUGGGUGGGAUGGUAAAUAUAUGGAAUUUAACUCCUGUGGAUUAGGCAUCAUUAUAUGAAAAAGAUGAAGGUCCCCAAAAGGUUGACUUUGAGUUACUCGAAAGGGAGAUUUCCUGGGUGGGCCUGACCUAUAGGUGAGCCCUGAAAAUGGGUUGGGCCCUUUCCGAAGGGGGUGAUCAGAAGGAACAAAUUCACCUGCUGGUUUUGAAAAAACAAACUGCCCUGUUUUGGAGAGGGACACACAGCAGAAAUCACAGGCAGUCCCCAGCAUCUGAGAGCAGCCCCCGGAUGACCGCCACCGAGGAGAGAGAGAGCCGAGUCCUACGACCACAACUUGUUAUAUUCUGCCAAGAACCACACAAGCUUGGAAGAAGACCCGAAGCCUCAGCUGAGAACACAGCCGGCUGACACCUCGAUGUCAGCCUGAUGAGACCCUACGCAGGGAACUUGACCAGGCCAGCCUGAACUUCUGAUCUACAGAACCGGGAGCUAAGAAACAGGGGUGGUUUUAAACCAUUCAGUUGGUGAUAAUUUCUUCUAGAGUGAUAUAAAAGUAAUACACUUUCUACACACCGUCCCCUCCCUUCUUUCACUGAGUAGCUCCCAUUCAUCAUCUGAGAUUCUGCUGGAGAGCAUCUCAUCCAUCAGCCCUGAAGCCCUCUCCUCCCAUCACCCCCACGCUUCCCCAACCGGGCCAGGCCGUGCGCCUCUCCUUUGUUCUCCUAAAGCAGUGGUGCUCACAGUCCCCAAGAAAAUUUUCUGGGGUCCACAAGGACAAAAAUAUUUUCAUCCUAAUUCUCUGGCCUUAUUU